UUUCAAAGGUAAGUAAGUUCCUUUUCUACAGGAGAUGGAUGUCAUCACAAGUCCAACACUCUGCUUUCAGAUGUACUGGUUUUAGACAACAUUUUAAGAAGGCUGGAGAACAAAACACCCAAAUUAACAAGCGUGAUUAAAACAACAACAACUCUGUGCAUUAAAAAAGUUUGAAGACUAACUUACAGAUGAAAAUGAAGAAGAUGGGAUUCUUUUAGCAUCCUGUUGGAAAAACAACAACACUGAACAACAUUUCAGACUAGGAGAAUGGAUGAGAACAUGAAAGAAUAGCACUUAAAAAUCUCUCAGCUCAGGUUUGGAUGCCAAGACCCUACUAUGCAGAAGUUACUGAACAUCUACAUCAACUUUUUGGGGGGAGGGGGGAGUGGUAAAGCAAUCAGAGAUACACAUCUCCUUAUCACACAGCAGGAUCAUAUAUAUUGCACUGAAUUUAACACACAAGACAGGGAUCGUGUUUGUUCAUCUCUUCCCAUACUAGGUAUACUAAAAAAUGUUUUAAAACCCCAGAAUUAUAAUUGAGUACUAGUGCAAUGCUUAGAAUGUUGGUCUCGAAAAACAGUGCAUGGUAAUGCUAGUAGGUAAAAUGGUGUCGGCUGAAACAUUGUGUCCAACAUUUCACAAUAACGCUGAAGUAACACACACCAGAGCAGGGUGGGCAAGAUUUUUGGCAGGGGAGGGUGAAGAAGACUUUUAUUUCUCCCAUUAUUUAUGAUCUUUUAAAAAAACUUUUUAAAAUGCUUUAUUAUUCGUUUUCCAUAUAUAUACAACACGUAGUCAUCUUUAUUUCGAUCAGUCCAAUAAAGAUAACAAUGUUCACAAAAGAUACAUACAAUUUCAACCAUGUAUUUUCUACGCGAACCUAUGACUUCCCAUCCUCUCCGUAUUUUCCUUUAUAUUAAGCAUCUUGCUUUAGUUUAUCAUUAUUGUUUUGUGAAAAUUCUCUUUUCUAUUUCGAUAUUGUUUUCCUUCAUAUGUACUACUUACAGAAAUAAUUCAAAGGAUGUAACCAUGCUUAAGUUACAGCUGCUUUUCAAAUAAUUAUUGAAAUUAUCCCAUUCUACAAUGAACUCCUGUCUGGGCUUGUCUCUGAUUCUUUCCGAAAGAGAUGGUAAUUCUGCAUAUUCUGUCAAUUUGAGUAACCAUUCAGCUCUUGUAGGGAGUUUGUCCU